rnacentral:rRNA from 1 species
UACGGGGGGGGCAAGCGUUGUUCGGAAUUAUUGGGCGUAAAGGGCUCGUAGGCGGUUUGUCGCGUCGGGGGUGAAAACCCAGGGCUUAACUCUGGGCUUGCUUUCGAUACGGGCAGACUAGAGGUAUGCAGGGGAGAACGGAAUUCCUGGUGUAGCGGUGAAAUGCGCAGAUAUCAGGAGGAACACCGGUGGCGAAGGCGGUUCUCUGGGCAUUACCUGACGCUGAGGAGCGAAAGUGUGGGGAGCGAACAGG